AAUUGGGAAAAACUAGCAAUUUUUUGUGUAAUUUUGAAAACAAGGAAAAUCACGGCUAAUACUCUGCACAGAAUCGUUUUCGAUUAGCUUUGGUUUAUAAUUGCGUAGAGAUAUAGAAAGGGGAUAUAGAUAUCCGCCUUUCCAACGCCUCUCCUAAAACAGCGACUGAAUUAAUGGCUUUUAAUACAAUACAAUUUAUAUUGCAAUCCGUUCAUCUCUACAUAUCCAAGUACAGUUACAGUAUUUUUUAUUGCUGGUCUCAUGUGUGCUCUGUAAACAUAUUAUAAUAAACGGUUUGCAGGUGAUUUUUUUUUUUUCAGUUUAAAUAUCCUGGAAAUGAAUUCAAACCGUUCAGAGUAUCUGGGUAAAUACACUUGCUGCACAUUUAACUAUUAUACAUAAUAUAUACGAGUGCAUUCGCAAAUAGGGGACCCCUAUACGUCUGUUGAGCCGAUUACGAGUGGUCUAUCAACUCUACAGGAUACAUUGUAAAAAAAAAAACAUUUAAUAUUGUUAUCACUUACGCGUUUAUCAAAACAAAGCGAUAGUGCGUAAUAAUUACGUGUAUUUAAGGUCGUGACGUCGUCGCGUUGUGUAUUUUGUCGUUUGUGUGUACCUAUAUAUUAUAUAGCUUACAAUAUUUUAUUCUCGUAUAUUACUAUUUUGUUCCGGCCGAUUACCUGCCUAUUUUUUUUUCUUUCUGUUAUAUAUGUACCGUCGAAUUUUUCUCUUGUUAUAGCAAAUAAUAUCUAAAAUUAUUGUAUAUACCUAGGCCAAUACCGUGACGGUCAUCGUGAUAAAAAAUCGUAUUAAAAACAGUCGUCUUCGCUGUACUGCAGUCUUCUAUAUAGCUAUAAAAAUCGCAGCUGCCAUUAUAUUUUAAAGGCGCGUCCACACUAUGAUCAUAUUUCACGUGGCGAUCCCUCGACAUUUUAAUGUGCCCGAAACGGACGCAGUUUUGAUGUCUAGAUUCUUGACGA